UACGUAGGAUGCGAGCGUUGUCCGGAAUUAUUGGGCGUAAAGAGAACGUAGGCGGUUUCCUAAGUUUGGUCUUAAAGACCGGGGCUCAACCCCGGGAAUGGAUCGAAAACUGGGAGACUGGAGGAUGUCAGAGGAAAGUGGAAUUCCGAGUGUAGCGGUGAAAUGCGUAGAUAUUCGGAGGAACACCAGUGGCGAAAGCGACUUUCUGGACCAGUACCGACGUUCAGGCACGAAAGCGUGGGGAGCAAACAGG
rnacentral:rRNA from 1 species